AACGAGGCCGACCUGCGGCUGAGUUACCUGCGGAAGGAUCAUUACCGAGUUUACAACUCCCAAACCCCUGUGAACAUACCAAUUGUUGCCUCGGCGGAUCAGCCCGCUCCCGGUAAAACGGGACGGCCCGCCAGAGGACCCCUAAACUCUGUUUCUAUAUGUAACUUCUGAGUAAAACCAUAAAUAAAUCAAAACUUUUAGCAAUGGAUCU
rnacentral:misc_RNA from 1 species